ensembl:lncRNA
AUGCGUGGCGGCGCUGCACUGAAAUUACUACGUUUACGUCACCACUUGAACUUCUCACUGAGUUGGUAUUUGAAUGUUAGCUUAACUUCAAGUUCAAAACAUACUUUAUUCGUUUUUUGGAACACUCUGUGGAUACUAAUAAGAAUGUCAAAAAGAAAGCAGCCAAACCUCAGUCAAUUUGGAUUUACAAAACAAACGAAGAGGAGUGAUGACAGCGCACCAGGCGAUCAUGAUCAUGCAACACCUUUCAACUGGACAACGAAGCAAUGGAGUGAGUGGAGAAUUCUUUUCUGCCGUGGAUUCUACUGACAGCAAGUAUCGCAACAAGUUGCGUGAACAAUGCCUCUGCUCGCUUCUCUUCGUGGAUCUGAAUGGACCCCCUUUGGAGCAAUUUGACCCUCUGCCUUUUGUAUCAUCUUGGAUUAAAGCCGGUCACCGACCCUCAACAUCCUGGGUUACAGGACGGAAAGCAAAGACAGAAGACCCCAGGCUUCUGUGGUCACUUCUGAUUUAAGGUAAGAAUCAUGGAAUUACUUACUUGAUCUGUGCGUUUGUGAGGAUUGGCCCUAAUCCUAUUUAAUAUUGAUGUAUUUUUUUUAUGAUUGUUAUGUGAGUUAUUCUGUUUUUUUUAAUCAUGAUUUGCAUGAUGUAGGCCUAAGCGCGGUUGAUUCAGAACCGUGGACAGAGCUGUUUGCCCUAACACUGACAACACUGACUGACGCUUGCGUUUUAAAGUAAACGGUUUACUAAGAAAACAAUAGGUUUACUGUAAACCUAUUGUUUUAAAUGCCCUAACAUGCACCAAAAGCGUUAAAGUCAGUCAGGGAGGAUCGGAAAAUAGGGCUCCCCCGAAAGCCACUUUGUAAUUCGAGCCCUGCUUAGGUCCAUCCCUAACUCCUCCUUAUGCUGGCGGAUGAUCAUUUAUCUGCAUGUCCAAAGAGGUACAGCAUAUCUCUCUAUCCAGCUCAUUGUUGCUCAGUCUUCUCCAAACUAAUUACAGUGUUGUAUUGAUAACACAUGGAAUUAUAUGUAACUGCUGCUUAUAAAAUUACUGGUUAAUUGCCUUAAGAUUCAGGGGUUCAAUCCUCUGCUGCCAAAUAGCUAGUGUUCAAAAACCUAAAGCCAUGGAGGAGACAGGAGGGACUUAAAGCAGGUGGAGCCAGGUAGGACCCAGGCCACAGCUGUGAAGGCGGCCCACGGUGGAGAAAAAGGAGGGAGGAGCUAUGGUUUGGGGAGAGCUGAUGAUUCCAGGGGGUUGACCAAUGUCUAUGGAGCAGGUGGUGGAGGAGCGUGAGGCAGAGAUGGAGAGCCCAUGAGCCAGGGUGACGAGGAGGAUCCGGAGGGCCAAGGCGGAGCAGAUGGCUCAGGCAACCGAGGCAGAGGCUGGGAUCCAGAAGGCCGUGGCGGAGCUGGAGCGACAGAGGACCAUGGAGGAGCCGAUGGGAAGGUGGGGGCAAAUGUCUGCAUGGUUAAUGAGGAUAGGUCACCCAUUCAAUUGAUAAAUUAAUGGCUAGUUUAAGGUGUAAAAGAAACUGAACUAUUAUAGUAUUAAUUAAAAGUAAACUGACUCUAAUAAUCAGUCUCUUGCUUUCCUUGUGUUAAUACGCAUAUAGAAGCAUAAUUCGGCAGCAAAUGAAGACUGAAGCCAGGAUGUGGUUUUCCAAUUAUUAUUAUUUUUUUUAAAUCAGUUUAAAAAAGUAAUUGAAGUCACAUAAAUCACUAUUUACACAACUCACUUAUAUUACACUGCUCAUUUACAACAUUACUUAUAUUACACCGCUCAUUUGUAUUACACUGCUCACUUAUAUCACAUUACUCACUUAUAUCACAUUAUAUUACAUUGCACUGCUUACAUUACUCACUUCAUCUGUGCUGAGGUCUUUGUUUUUUUUAUUAUUUUUGUUUUUUUAGUUUUUCAUAUUUUAUAUGAAAGAUAUUAAAGCAGUUUUUAAUUUUUUUCUUGUUGUUAAAAUUCAAAAUAGUUUUUAAAUAUAAUUGGAUGUCACUGUUCCCACCAAUCCUUGCACAAGUUAAGGUUACGCAUGAUGACGAAAGCACGUUGCACAAUGCGAGCCCUCCCGGAACUCACAGAGAUUGUGAAUGAACAUGAGUAACAUGAGAAUCUGAAUGAACGAGUACAAUAAGAGCACGUUAUAAAGAUCUUCACAAACAGAGCCUAUUGUAAAGUUUAGUAUAAACAUUCUUAAUCUAACAUUAUUAACUCUUUUAUAUCCUUGCCGUCUAUUUUAUAGAACAUAAAAAAAAAAAAAACAUCCUGGUGUCGUGAGAUAUUAGAUGCAGUGAAUGAAUCUUCAUAAUGCUUCACUUGAUUAUACAUUUAGUCAGGAAUCAUGGUUUGGAAAAAGUCUAACUAGUAAAAUAUGUAGCCAACAAGUUAUAUCACAAUAACACAGUAACAAAACCCAAGUAGACUAAUAAAAAAAAAGACUUACUCGUGUAAAUGAUAUCC